rnacentral:lncRNA from 10 species
CGUCCCGGCUAACACAGUGAAACCCCGUCUCUACUAAAAAAUACAAAAAAUUAGCUGGGCGUGGUGGUGGGCGCCUGUGGUCCCAGCUGCUUGGGAGGCUGAGGCAGGAGAAUGGCGUGAACCCGGGGGGCAGAGCUUGCAGUGAGCCGAGAUUGCGCCCCUGCACUCCAGCCUGGGUGACAGAGUGAGACUCCAUCUCAAAAAAAAAAAAAAAAAAAAUUAGCCAGGCGUGGUGGUAGGCCCCUGUAAAUCCCAGCUACUCAGGAGACUGAGGCAGAGAAUUGCUUGAACCUGGGAGGCGGAGGUUGCAGUGUGCCAAGAUCGCACCACUACACCCCAGCCUGGGUGAGAGAGCGAGACUCUGUCUCAAAAAAAAAAAAAAAAAAGUUGUUGAUGACUAAAUGGAUGAACUCCAUUUGGGUUUCCGCUCAUCUGAACCUCAGAAUCAGCAGUUGUUUUAACAAUACACUUGGUUCUCUCUAGAUAG